GCGGGCAUGGCGAAGCUCCCGGACCUGAAGGACGCCGAGGCCGUGCAGAAGUUCUUCCUGGAGGAGAUCCAGCUGGGGGAGGAGCUGCUGGCUCAGGGCUGAGCCACCUGCGCUGCAUGUGAAAAUCCUCAUAUGGACUCCUCCUUUUUUAUUUAUAUCUGUUUCUGAGCCGAUGCAUGUGCCACUCUUUGUUCUUUACGUGGCUUACUGUGUUUAAGUAAAUAAAUGUGAAAUGCAAUCUGCCUCUGA